GACACGGUAGCUCAGUGGUGAAGUGUGCUCGACUUGGGAUUGAAAGGUCUUUAGUUCAAGUCCUAGCCAUGGCU